rnacentral:snoRNA from 1 species
AUCAUUUUGUGGUUCCUAAGUGUAAUGGUUGGGUUUUCACACUACUGUACGAGAUGUGCCUCCCUUAAACCUUGCAGCUCAUGACAACUGAUG